rnacentral:rRNA from 1 species
GACGAACGCUGGCGGCGUGCUUAACACAUGCAAGUCGAACGGAAAGGCCCUGCUUUUGUUGGUUGCUCGAGUGGCGAACGGGUGUGUAACACGUGAGUAACCUGCCCUUGACUUUGGGAUAACUUCAGGAAACUCGGGCUAAUACCGCAUAGGAGCUCCUGCUGCAUGGUGUGGGUUGGAAAGUUUCGGCGGUUGUGGAUGGACUCGCGGCUUCUCCGCUUGUUGGUGGGGUAGUGGCUUACCAAGGCUUUGACGGGUAGCCGGCCUGAGAGGGUGACCGGCCACAAUGGGACUGAGAGACGGACCAGACUCCAACGGGAGGCAGCAGUGGGAAAUAUUGCACAAUGGGCGGAAGCCUGAUGCAGCAACGCCGCGUGCGGAAUGACGGCUUUCGGGUUGUAAACCGCUGUCGCCUGAGACGAAGCGUGAGUGACGGUAAUGGGUAAAGAAGCACCGGCUAACUACGUG